rnacentral:lncRNA from 1 species
GAGGAACGUAACAGCAACAUGUUCAUAGUAAAAUCAAUAAACAGAGAUUGAGAUGCUGGACAUUGAAAUGGACGCCUGGAAAGGAUCGUGACCUUGGGAGCCCCUUCCCCCUUAGCCAGACAUGACAAACAAUCAUGUUUAUGCAGAAUGGAGGUCACAGGUGUUGGCUCAGAUUGUUUUUCCUUUAAUAAGUCAUUGGUGAGUUCACAAUGAAAAGGGUAUUGAGCUUAGCGUCUAGGUGCCUGAGUGUCAUAGGUGAAAGGUCAUUAGUGAGGUGCUUAUGGCCCUUGCACCAGCUUGACCUCCUUGCUUUUUUAGUGUUGUGAAUAUUCCAAAGUGAAAAUGAUAUGACAGAAGAGAAAAGUUGAUUAUGUUAAAUACUAUUUUAUUUCUCUCCUUGUCCUCCCCUUCUCUCUUUCUGUCCUCCUCCUUUCUCUCCUCCCCCUCUCUCUUUCUCGCCUCUCUCUUUCUCUCCUCCCCCUUUCUCUUUCUGUCUUCCUCCUCGCCCUCUCUCUUUCUAUACCCUGAUGAAGACAGCUUGAGUGUCGAAAUUAGAGUUGUGCUUCUCAGAACGCCAGCCGUGCUGCAGCUCCGAGGUCUGAGCCGAGCUUGAGCCCCAGCGGUCCUCUAUCUUAUGACUGGCAGGCGACCACUCAACCCCUGCAGCUGCAUUGCUUUGGUGCCUGCCCUGCCUAGUGCAAUGCAAUCAGAGCUAGAGAUCCCACUCUGAGAGAAGAGUGAGGGAGGAACAGAGAGAGCAGUGUCACCAGUGAGAGCGCUGUGGUGUCAUGGGAGAUGGACGUGACUGCGUGGUGACUAAAUAAUAAAUGUGCCAUAUCAGGUUUCGCGUGGAGCCAGGGCCAUGGCCAUGGCUGUUGACGGCCAGAGCGAGGUGAUGCUUCCUACAGGAGCAGCAUUUCGGUGGUUCCAGUAAGACUCUGACCCUCCACUCUAACCCUUACCUACACAAACCCAAAGCUCUGCGAUCAAGUGCAAUGCCAACUCUCGCUUCGAUUGUAUCGGGCAUGGACACUGGCUGACAAGAAAACUUACAACAAAUAAAAAGAUAUAAAAAAAAAUUACGAAACAGGAAUGAUACAAAAUAAUCAACUGAGUAAUGGAUGCACCUAAUUAUUCCUUGAACCAAAAAUUAAAUAUAAAGAAAAUAAUCUAUGGCAACUUUCAUUCAUUCCCUUUUCUAUGUUCCCAUUUUGGUACAUUUUGUCCUGUUUCCAGCAGGUCUUUUCUGUCGCUCAGACAUGGAACUGUUCAUUGCUAAACAGAAAUGACUGACUGAGUGUGGACAAUCAACACAUGUCUGUGUUUGGUGUUAAUGUUGUUCACAUGUGGAAAGAUACAGUACUUGUGUAGAGAAUGUACAUUUAUGGCUAUAUUUUAAAACUAGUGGCUAAUGGCAGGCACUAUUGUAAUUUAGCACCAUUGUUCUUAUCUAAACCCUUGUCUAUUUUAUGAUUUAUAUUGUUGCAAGAAUAUAGUUUGAAACGGAUCAAUGGUUGUCUUUUAAAAGAAAAAGGAAAUGUUUCAAAAUGUAAAAAUCCAGAUUUCUGAUUCAAAUGAAAAAGCAACUCUCAUCCUAUGGGGCAGAAGUCUAGGGGACUCUUUAGCAGGAUGAUCCUAACCUCCAGAGAACUCACUGGAAUCUCCCCAACCAACCAACCAACCAACCAACCAACCAACCGUGUUUUCCUCGCCUGUAUUUCCAAGCUUUUUAUUUAGUGAAACUGGCAGCCUUACGUUCCUAUGGCCCUAGCGACUGUGUCUGGCAUGAGGAGGACAGAGGGCGACAUCACUAGGAGGCACUUGUUCUGAGUCUACCCAUUUGAACGCACUGAAACAUGAAUUUAUUUGUAUUUUUUAUUUGUUAAUUUUUUUAAAUUAUGUUGCUGGUAGCUACAUCUUUUAAAAACAACAGCGAUGUUUGUAUUCAUUUAGAAAAUUGGACUGGUUUUGUGAAUAAAAACGAAUGCAUGUAUUUGUGUAAAAAUUUACAGUUCUGAUGUUUGUCUACUUGUCUUUGCAUGUUUUUUUCCCCUAAAACAGCGGGUGAAGUAUGAAAAUGUCCGGUAAAUCUUUCAAAUUUGUUCCCUUUUCAUAUCAUUGGAUGCUAUAAUUUAAAAAAAAAAUAUUGGGCGAGAAAUACAAAUCAUUAAAGCAGAAGGAGGAAAUGGUGUGUUUCAUUCAGAUGUUUCCUGUUGCUCUAGCAUAGAUACCCAAUACAAACAACACUGGUAGUGACAGGGUAGGAACCAAAGUUUUGGUGAGUGUUUCCCAGUGUUUCCCAGGGGGCCCUAAUUAGUGUUCCUCAUGAAAGAGUGUUGUACUUGAAGGUUCUAUGUAGAGAUAGUGUGGAGUUGUUGCAAUGGGUAGAUUGAUGUACAGGUAACUGCCAAAAUAAAGGAUACAUCAACAUAAAGUGUCUUAAUUGGGCGUUGGGCCAGAACAGCUUCAGUGCACCUUGGCAUAGUAGAGUCUACAAGUGUCUGGAACUCUGUUGGAGGGAUGCAACACCAUUCUUCCACGAGAAAUUCCAUAAUUUGUUUUUUUGUUGAUGGUGGUGGAAAACACUGUUUCAGGUGCUGCUCCAGAAUCUCCCAUUAGUGUUCAAUUGGGUUGAGAUCUGGUGACUGAUACACUCGUGCCCUGUGGAUGGGGGCAUUGUCAUCCUAUAGCCAUGGUAGACAAAAUAAUGGCCUGCCCAGAAUUUGUUUACAUGACCCUAAGCAUGAUGGGAUGUUAAUUGCUUAAUUAACUCGGGAACCAUACCUGUGUGGAAUCACCUGCUUUCAAUAAACUUUGUAUUCCUCAUUUACUCAAGUAUUUCCAUUAUUUUGGCAGAUACCUGUGGCAUUGUAAUGUUAAAGUGAAACCAAACCAACAUCAAAAUGGAGAAUAUAGGAAAGGAAUCUAUCUGGAAUGUGUUGUAUAUCCUCCAAAUCUAUGGAGUCACUUCCUCCACCCUCCUCAAAUGUCCUGCUCCCCAUGUAAAAACAAAACACAAUUAGAAAGCUAUGAAUAAUGAAUAUUUCCUCAAUAUUGCUGAAUUACAGUGUUGUCCUCAAAGCCACAAAGGAGAGGGCUGUUUAAGAGUAAAGGGAAGCUUUUUGGAUGUCAGGACUCAGGCCCCCACUCUGGUGACACACAUGGUCCUGUGACAUUUAUCUAACGCAAGCUCUUUAUGAGACCUUGUCCUCUAAAAGAAC